UCGUUAGGUCCGUUUUAGGGGGGCUUCAGCCCCCCUAAAAUAAUCACAAGCCCCCCUAUCAUUUUGGUUUAUUUUAUUUUUUUCAGUUAACUUUUUUUAUUUGUUCACAUCUACAUGCUGAACACAAUCAUGACACGUGUAAUUGGUACAUGAGUUUUUUAGUCUGAAACAGAAAUAAUAAUUAAUGAAUAUAGAACUACACCGUCGCACACAGGAAGUAUCAAGAAAGGACUUCCUCCACUUCCUUAAGCCCGCAGCUUUGUUGACAAGUCAGGGGGCGGGAUGAUACAGAAAAACCUUUAUAUCGAUGAGCAAACCCUGCUCAGCGCUCAUAUGGAUAUACGAAGACUUUUUUAAGAGAGUGAGUGAGGAACAGGAGAGAGAUCAGGUGGUUGAUGCUGAGGAGAUCUGCAUGGUCAAGGACAGCGUCAGUUAGCACCCGGCCACUUCCAGGUGCGUCAUGCGCCCGAGGAACAAUGGUGAGACAGGCUGACCCUGCAGCCACAUCUUUGGUCGCCGCUCGGGAUGCCUCGUGGGACACUUCAUCCAGAGUCACUGGGGGGAAACAACGAGAUUUGGUUUUGUUUUAUAUUUUAAUGACAGGCACAUUUGAUCUGUUUUAAUAAAAGGCUUAAACGUGA